AACGAACGCUGGCGGCAGGCUUAACACAUGCAAGUCGAGCGCCCCGCAAGGGGAGCGGCAGACGGGUGAGUAACGCGUGGGAAUCUACCCAUCACUACGGAACAACUCCGGGAAACUGGAGCUAAUACCGUAUACGUCCUUCGGGAGAAAGAUUUAUCGGUGAUGGAUGAGCCCGCGUUGGAUUAGCUAGUUGGUGGGGUAAUGGCCUACCAAGGCGACGAUCCAUAGCUGGUCUGAGAGGAUGAUCAGCCACACUGGGACUGAGACACGGCCCAGACUCCUACGGGAGGCAGCAGUGGGGAAUAUUGGACAAUGGGCGAAAGCCUGAUCCAGCCAUGCCGCGUGAGUGAUGACGGCCCUAGGGUUGUAAAGCUCUUUCGCAGGUGAAGAUAAUGACGGUAACCUGAGAAGAAGCCCCGGCUAACUUCGUGCCAGCCGCCGCCGUAAUAC
rnacentral:rRNA from 1 species